rnacentral:rRNA from 1 species
GUCUUUAGUGGUCCGCCCCUUCGGGGAGCGGGUCACUGGCCUCCUAUGUUCCUAACGGUCCUCAUCCGCGAGGGUGGGGAAUCAACCGCUAGGAUCGUUUACUUUGAGGAAAUUAGAGUGUUCAAAGCAGGCGUAACUCGCCUCCGAAUACGUUAGCAUGGGAUAAURGAAUAGGACUUCGGUCUWKUUUCGUUGGUUUCGCUUGGCYGAAGUAAUGAUUGAUAGGGACRGUYGGGGGCAUUAGUAUUUAAUUGUCAGAGGUGAAAUUCUMGGAUUUAGKAAAGACUGACYWMWGCGAAAGCAUUUGCCAAGGAUGUUUUCAUUAAUCAAGAACGAAAGUUAGGGGAUCGAAGACGAUCAGAUACCGUCGUAGUCUUAACCGAUAAACGAUGCCGACCAGGGAUCGGGAGACGUUACCUCGAUGACUCUCCCGGCACCUUGCGGGAAACCACAAGUCUUUGGGUUCCGGGGGGAGUAUGGUCGCAAGGCUGA